rnacentral:rRNA from 1 species
GGGAUAACUACUGGAAACGGUAGCUAAUACCGCAUAACGUCGCAAGACCAAAGAGGGGGACCUUCGGGCCUCUUGCCAUCGGAUGUGCCCAGAUGGGAUUAGCUUGUUGGUGGGGUAACGGCUCACCAAGGCGACGAUCCCUAGCUGGUCUGAGAGGAUGACCAGCCACACUGGAACUGAGACACGGUCCAGACUCCUACGGGAGGCAGCAGUGGGGAAUAUUGCACAAUGGGCGCAAGCCUGAUGCAGCCAUGCCGCGUGUAUGAAGAAGGCCUUCGGGUUGUAAAGUACUUUCAGCGGGGAGGAAGGGAGUAAAGUUAAUACCUUUACUCAUUGACGUUACCCGCAGAAGAAGCACCGGCUAACUCCGUGCCAGCAGCCGCGGUAAUACGGAGGGUGCAAGCGUUAAUCGGAAUUACUGGGCGUAAGGCGCACGCAGGCGGUUUGUUAAGUCAGAUGUGAAAUCCCCGGGCUCAACCUGGGAACUGCAUCUGAUACUGGCAAGCUUGAGUCUCGUAGAGGGGGGUAGAAUUCCAGGUGUAGCGGUGAAAUGCGUAGAGAUCUGGAGGAAUACCGGUGGCGAAGGCGGCCCCCUGGACGAAGACUGACGCUCAGGUGCGAAAGCGUGGGGGGCAAACAGGAUUAGAUACCCUGGUAGUCCACGCCGUAAACGAUGUCAACUUGGAGGUUGUGCCCUUGAGGCGUGGCUUCCGGAGCU